GGCAAAUCAUAGCCAUUGCUUGUGCUUGUUCAGCUGUAGUGUUAGUUGUGGUAAUCAUUCUUGUUGUAAUUUGUUGGAAGAAAAAUCGCCCAAGGAAAGUAAAUUCCGAGGUUUCCCUGAGUCGACAACAUUUGACAAAUGAUGUCGAAAUGAGAGAGCAUGGACACGACAACCCUGAACAAGAACAAGUAUCCGAGGCUUAAUAUAUAACUUUCUGAGUGACCAAACAAGUCCUUGUUAUGUUAAGUUUUUUCAGUCUUUCGUAAAGUGCCUUUUCCAUCGCGAUACAUGGACUCAUGCCCAGUCCCUUCAAUUACUUUGCUUUUUCAAAGGUGCGUAAUUCAAGGAAAGCGCUACUUUCACGAAACGUUGUUCUUUCUCACAACCAGAAUAAACGAGCAAUAUCUCCAAUCAUCUCUUUCGAGCAUAGCGCAAAAAGAGAAUCAUCGACAGGGUAUACGAGUGUGGUUGCGAUAUGAAAUGAAAAUUGCUGAAUACGAGGCUCUGGGAAACUAUGGAUGAUCAUUUUGCUUCCCCACUCGCAGAACUUCGUCUUCGUGUCCGUCUACUCUGACUUGGAUCUACUCUCAAAAUACAGAUGCGCACACCGUUGUAAUGAAUUUAUUUAUAUAUUUAUUUAUUGCAUUUUCCUAUACGACCGAAUUACUAUCGAUAAAGCUUUCGCUAUAAACUAAGAUAGACACUGAUAAACCAUGAACUUAAUCAUAUAUGAAUCUUACUUGAACUAAAAUAGUUGUUGAAUAAACAUUUCAUAAAACAUU